GAUGAAGAACGUAGCAAACUGCGAUAAGUAAUGUGAAUUGCAGAAUUCAGUGAAUCAUCGAAUCUUUGAACGCACAUUGCGCCCGCCAGUAUUCUGGCGGGCAUGCCUGUUCGAGCGUCAUUACAACCCUCAGGCCCCCGGGCCUGGCGUUGGGGAUCGGCGGAGCCCCCCGUGGGCACACGCCGUCCCCCAAAUGCAGUGGCGGUCCCGCCGCAGCUUCCAUCGCGUAGUAGCUAACACCUCGCGACUGGAGAGCGGCGCGGCCACGCCGUAAAACACCCAACUCUUCUGAAGUUGACCUCGAAUCAGGUAGGAAUACCCGCUGAACUUAAGCAUAUCAAUAAGCGGAGGA
rnacentral:misc_RNA from 1 species